UACGGAGGAUGCAAGCGUUAUCCGGAAUGAUUGGGCGUAAAGGGCGCGUAGGCGGCGCGAGCAGUCGGCGGUGAAAGCCCGGAGCUCAACUCCGGGUCGGCCGUCGAUACUCUCGUGCUUGAGCACUGUAGAGGCAGGUGGAAUUCCGGGUGUAGCGGUGGAAUGCGUAGAGAUCCGGAAGAACACCGGUGGCGAAGGCGGCCAUCGUGACCGAGUAUGACGCUGAGUGC
rnacentral:rRNA from 1 species